rnacentral:rRNA from 1 species
CGAAGGGGGCUAGCGUUGUUCGGAAUGACUGGGCGUAAAGGGUGUGUAGGCGGUUAGACACGUCAGAUGUGAAAUCCCCGGGCUUAACCUGGGAAUGGCAUUUGAUACGGUAUAGCUAGAGAUUGGUAGAGGGUAGAGGAAUUGCGAGUGUAGAGGUGAAAUUCGUAGAGAUUCGCAGGGACACCGGCGGCGAAGGCGGCUACCUGGGCCAAUACUGACGCUGAGGCACGAGAGCGUGGGGAGCAAACAGGAUUAGAUACCCUGGUAGUCCACGCCGUAAACGAUGAGUGCUAGAUGUUGCGUGUGAACGCAUGCAGUGUCGCAGUUAACGCAUUAAGCACUCCGCCUGGGGAGUACGGUCGCAAGAUUA